ensembl:lncRNA
UGGAGCUCUCUAGUGGCCAACCGAAAUCGCCAAAUAAACAAACAGCAGCGAUGGCUCAAGCGAAGGACACGCACAAAUGGACACCACAGGAGACCAGACGGCUCAUUAAUUUCAGGGCGACCAGGGACAAUGAGUUCCUAAAAUCGAAAAUGAUCGCCAGAAAACAGUGGGAGCUUUUUCUGGAAGAAAUGGGGGUGGAGGGGAAAGUGACCAGGCAACAGGCUAAGAAGUGGGAGAACCUUAAAAAGAAGUACAAGGCCCGCUCUAUCACAGAACGCACCUUGGAUUGGCGGUAAUUAAAGCGCUGCUGCACCCGCCCAAUCACCGGCUCUUCAUAGGGAGUCAACAGACAUACGGGCGUCUCGAGGCAGGGGUACCCACCAUCACCUAAAAGCAUGUAACCCGGCGGUGGAUACCUGGCAGUCAAAUAAAAAUAACUGUUUUUCAUUACCCUUGUCCUUUAUGUUUCUUGGACGGAAUGUAACUGAUAAUUUCGUUGCUCUGUAACAUGGGAAAUGACAAC